CGACGGGGCAUACGCGUGUGCUGGUAGGCCAUCAAUGUGAAAUCCAGUAGGACCAAUUUGAGUGUCAUUAUUGCACGUGUCUACAAUUUCAAUGAAAAGGGAGAUCAGAAAUCUUCAGAUUAUCCCUACCAGCCAA